rnacentral:misc_RNA from 1 species
CAACCCUCAAGCGCUGUAGUGCUUGGUGUUGGGGCAUCUGCUGCCUGCAGCAGGCCCUGAAAGAUAGUGGCGAGGUCGCCGUGACCCUGAGCGUAGUAGUUUACACCUCGCUUCUGUGGCUCGCGGCGGGCUCUCAGCCGUGAAAACCCCCUAAUUUUCACAAGG